GCCUCCGGGCAUCUGGUCAAUUUGAAAACAUACAGAGAGGAUUAGCGUUGCCCCUGCACUAAGGAUGACACAAUGCAAUCAAAGCGAGCUUCAACUUUUUU
rnacentral:snRNA from 1 species